rnacentral:rRNA from 1 species
GACGAACGCUGGCGGCGUGCUUAACACAUGCAAGUCAAACGGAAAGGCCCUGCUUUUGUGGGGUGCUCGAGUGGCGAACGGGUGAGUAACACGUGAGUAACCUGCCCUUGACUUUGGGAUAACUUCAGGAAACUGGGGCUAAUACCGGAUAGGAGCUCCUGCUGCAUGGUGGGGGUUGGAAAGUUUCGGCGGUUGGGGAUGGACUCGCGACUUAUCAGCUUGUUGGUGGGGUAGUGGCUUACCAAGGCUUUGACGGGUAGCCGGCCUGAGAGGGUGACCGGCCACAUUGGGACUGAGAUACGGCCCAGACUCCUACGGGAGGCAGCAGUGGGGAAUAUUGCACAAUGGGCGGAAGCCUGAUGCAGCAACGCCGCGUGCGGGAUGACGGCCUUCGGGUUGUAAACCGCUUUCGCCUGUGACGAAGCGUGAGUGACGGUAAUGGGUAAAGAAGCACCGGCUAACUACGUG